rnacentral:tRNA from 1 species
CUUUUAAAGGAUAACAGCUAACCCAUUGGUCCUAGGAACCACCCAUC